AUUGAACGCUGGCGGCAUGCUUAACACAUGGAAGUCGAACGGUAACAGGUCUAGCUUGCUAGAUGCUGACGAGUGGCGGACGGGUGAGUAACGCGUGGGAAUCUGCCUUCUAGUGGGGGAUAGCCCGGAGAAAUCCGGAUUAAUACCGCAUACGCCCUACGGGGGAAAGCCGGGGAUCUUCGGACCUGGCGCUAGUAGAUGAGCCCGCGUGAGAUUAGCUUGUUGGUGGGGUAAUGGCCUACCAAGGCAACGAUCUCUAGCUGGUCUGAGAGGACGAUCAGCCACACUGGGACUGAGACACGGCCCAGACUCCUACGGGAGGCAGCAGUGGGGAAUAUUGGACAAUGGGCGAAAGCCUGAUCCAGCAAUGCCGCGUGUGUGAAGAAGGCCUGAGGGUUGUAAAGCACUUUCAAUCGUGAAGAAAAGUUGCAGGCUAAUACCCUGUGACCUUGACGUUAACGAUACAAGAAGCACCGGCUAACUCCGUG
rnacentral:rRNA from 1 species